rnacentral:rRNA from 1 species
GCUCAGGAUGAACGCUGGCGGCGUGCCUAACACAUGCAAGUCGAGCGGAGAUUAAGAAGCUUGCUUCUUAAUCUUAGCGGCGGACGGGUGAGUAACGCGUGGGUAACCUGCCCUAUACACACGGAUAACAUAUCGAAAGGUAUGCUAAUACGAGAUAAUACAUUUUUAAGGCAUCUUAGAAAUGUCAAAGAUUUAUCGGUAUAGGAUGGACCCGCGUCCCAUUAGCUAGUUGGUGAGGUAAAAGCUCACCAAGGCGACGAUGGGUAGCCGACCUGAGAGGGUGAUCGGCCACACUGGAACUGAGACACGGUCCAGACUCCUACGGGAGGCAGCAGUGGGGAAUAUUGCACAAUGGGGGAAACCCUGAUGCAGCAACGCCGCGUGAGCGAUGAAGGCCUUCGGGUCGUAAAGCUCUGUCCUAAGGGAAGAUAAUGACGGUACCUUAGGAGGAAGCCCCG